rnacentral:rRNA from 1 species
CACGUAGGGCGCAAGCGUUUGUCCGGAAUUAUUGGGCGUAAAGAGCUCGUAGGCGGUCUGUUGCGUCCGCUGUGAAAACUCGGGGCUUAACCCCGAGCCUGCAGUGGAUACGGGCAGACUAGAGUUCGGUAGGGGAGACUGGAAUUCCUGGUGUAGCAGUGAAAUGCGUAGAUAUCUGGAGGAACACCGGUGCGAGGACGGCGAUCCUGGACCAACACUGACGCUGAGUGAGCGAAAGCCAGGGGAGCAAACGG